UACGGAGGGUGCAAGCGUUAUCCGGAUUCACUGGGUUUAAAGGGUGCGUAGGUGGGCAGUUAAGUCAGUGGUGAAAUCUCCGGGCUUAACCUGGGAACUGCAUUGGUGACUGGCAGGCUUUGAGUGUGGCAGAGGGAGGUAGAAUUCCACGUGUAGCAGUGAAAUGCGUAGAGAUGUGGAGGAAUACCGAUGGCGAAGGCAGCCUCCUGGGCCAACACUGACGCUCAUGCACGAAAGCGUGGGGAGCGAACAGG
rnacentral:rRNA from 1 species